ACUGGUUGUGGUGGCAACUGCCUGUAGUCCCAGCUACACGAGAGGCUGAGGCAGGAGGACUGCUUGACCUCAGAGGUUCUGGGUUGCAGUGCGCUAUGCUAAUUGGGUGUCUGCACUAAGAUUAGCAUGAUAUGGUGACCUCCUGGGAGCAGGGGACCACCAGCUUGCCUAAGGAGGGAUGAAUCGGCCCAGGUUGAAAACAGAGCAGGUUAAAACUCCUGUGCUUCUCAAUAGUGGGACUGCACCUGAGAAUAGCCUUUGCACUCCAGCACAAGGGACAUAGCCAGACCCUGUCUCU
rnacentral:SRP_RNA from 1 species